UAUAAAUAUUUAUGUAAAAUUAAUAUAGGCAGUAAAGUUGUUAAAAAGGGAUACAUUUAUUACUCAAAUAAGUUAGACAGCAUGACAGUAAAACCAAACCAUAACAGUGAAACAGAAGAUUAUGAGUAUUAGCCACGAUAUAACUCAUGAAGGAGGGAGAACCUAGAGAACGAACCUAAGAUGGAACGAGAGACGAAGUUGGUCAUAAAUAGAACAGGAGCGAUGAGAUAUUGGAGAAACUGUUAGAAGGAGAUCGUCCAAUGACGGCGUUCUUGUGCUAUCAAAUAGGUACCUAAUGUGAAGAUAAUACCUAGAUUUCUACUCGUCUAAUACCUCGCCUACCUCGAAAAAUUCAAUAAAUCAAUCAAUCAAAAUA